AACUUUUGACAAUGGAUCUCUUGGCUCUCGCAUCGAUGAAGAACGCAGCGAAAUGCUAUAAGUAAUGUGAAUUGCAGAAUUCAGUGAAUCAUCGAAUCUUUGAACGCACCUUGCACCCUUUGGUAUUCCGAAGGGUAUGCUCGUUUGAGUGUCAUUGUACUCUCACACUUCCGAUCGUUGGAUCGGGAGCGGUGGACUUGGGUGUUGCUGCUUUACUGUGGCUCACCUUAAAUGCAUUAUUGCAACUUUCGAUUGGACAUAGUACGGUGUGAUAGGUGUCUUCGCCGGCACCUCACAGAGUGUGGCCGGUCGGGAGCUCUGUGCUUCUAUCCGUCUGCGGACAAUAACUGACAACUUGGCCUCAAAUCGAGUAGGACUACCCGCUGAACUUAAGCAUAUCAAUAAGCGGAGGCG
rnacentral:misc_RNA from 1 species